rnacentral:lncRNA from 1 species
AAAAUCAAAAUAUAAACAUUACAGAAAAUAAAAGUAGUGUUGUAAAUGUAAAUGUAGAAGCAAAUAAAAAUACAAGAAAAAAUAUAAAUACACGAGAGUAUACAAACAUGGUUAAAAGUACUAGUGUAGAUAAAAACAGUAUACAUAUUAAAGCACAGGAUUAUUAUAUGAAUAGGAAGGCGAGUAACACAUAUGAUUUAACAAAACAUACAAAAAUAAAUAAAAUGAAUUAUAGUAAUCUGAAACAUGUUCAUAUGGAUAAUGGCGUUAUUAACAAUGACAGUAUAAGUAAUGGUAAUUUGAACCACAAUAAUAAUAAUAAUAAUAAUAAUAAUAAUAUUAUUGUGCAGGAUAUAGAAACAAAUAAAACGUAUGAAUCAGAAACUAAUAAUAAUAAUAAUAAUAAUAAUAAUCAAACUGUUUAUUUAAAUAAUAAUUUUCAAAAAGUUUUAAACCCUCAAGACAUUCAAAAAUAUUCUUCCAUCUUAGAAAAACAUUCAAAUUCUAUGAAAGUUAUCGUAAUGAAUGGUAAUAGUGACAGUAAUAAUAGUAAUAUUAGUAUUAGUAAUACAAACUUUAGGAACAUUGAUAAUAAUAAUAAUGGUGUAAAUAAUACGAUUAACAUUUUAAAACCCACAGAAAAUACAAAUUCCCAAAAUGUUAACGAAAACCAUAUGAACAACUCACAUAAUUUUGAUCAAGAAAAAGCAUUUAAUAUAAAUCAACAAAACGCUAUCAACAAUCAUCCUUUUAAUGUAGUAAGUAGUAAUGAAUCAAAGAAUAAUUAUACCGACAUCAUAAACACACCAUUAAAUGUGCAUUUAGAACAUCCAGUAAAAAAUGAAAUGUAUAACACAGGUUUAAAAUACGUUUAUCCAAAUAAUAAAAGUGUUAAUAAUGAAAUGUAUGUAGAAAACAAUAAAAAUACUAGAUUUACACACAAACAUGUGUAUCCCGUUAACCCUACUAGUAAUACUAAUGGUUAUAGUAACACUAAUAGUUAUAGUAACACUAAUAGUUAUAGUAACACUAAUGGUUAUAGUAAUACGAAUAGCUAUAAUAAUACGAAUAGCUAUAGUAAUACGAAUAAUUGUAGUAAUAAUAAUGCUAAUAAAUUUUAUAACAUGUAUCUUAAUAAUAUUCCUAAUGUCGGGCAUAAUGGCGCUGCACUAAGUAGUACUACUAUAAACAAUCAAAAUAAUCCAAUUAAAAAAAGUGUUCACGAUAUGUAUGCCCCUAAUUAUACUACCACGGUCAUGUCUGAAAAACAAAAAAACAUACCAGUGUUAAAUAUUCAUAAAGAUAUGCAACAUAAUGGCGUUUAUUUUAACAGGGAUGAUUAUAAUUUAAAAAAUGCUUAUUAUGAUAAACCUUUAUAUAACUAAAUUAUAAAAGAUAAAAAAAAAAAAAAAAAAAAAAAAA